rnacentral:rRNA from 1 species
ACGAACGCUGGCGGCGUGCCUAAUACAUGCAAGUCGAACGGUCUUUCUAUGGAAGCUUGCUUCCACUGAGAAGAUAGUGGCGAACGGGUGAGUAACACGUGGGUAACCUGCCCAUAAGAGGGGGGAUAACAUCCGGAAACGGGUGCUAAUACCGCAUAGUUUUCUUGAUCGCAUGAUUGAGAAAGGAAAGACGGCCUUUGUGCUGUCGCUUAUGGAUGGACCCGCGGCGUAUUAGUUAGUUGGUGAGGUAACGGCUCACCAAGACGAUGAUACGUAGCCGACCUGAGAGGGUGAUCGGCCACAUUGGGACUGAGACACGGCCCAAACUCCUACGGGAGGCAGCAGUAGGGAAUCUUCCGCAAUGGACGAAAGUCUGACGGAGCAACGCCGCGUGAGUGAAGAAAGGUUUUCGGAUCGUAAAACUCUGUUGUCAGAGAAGAACAAGUUGGAGAGUAACUGCUCCAGCCUUGACGGUAUCUGACCAGAAAGCCACGGCUAACUACGUGCCAGCCGCCGC